rnacentral:rRNA from 1 species
UCCCUCCCUGAGACUUAGAGUCUCCUGAAGGAACGUUGAAGACGACGACGUUGAUAGGCCGGGUGUGUAAGCGCAGCGAUGCGUUGAGCUAACCGGUACUAAUGAACCGUGAGGCUUAACCUU